UACGAAGGGGGCUAGCGUUGUUCGGAAUUACUGGGCGUAAAGCGCACGUAGGCGGCUUUUUAAGUCAGGGGUGAAAUCCCGGGGCUCAACCCCGGAACUGCCCUUGAAACUGGAGAGCUAGAAUCUUGGAGAGGCGAAUGGAAUUCCGAGUGUAGAGGUGAAAUUCGUAGAUAUUCGGAAGAACACCAGUGGCGAAGGCGACUCGCUGGACAAGUAUUGACGCUGAGGUGCGAAAGCGUGGGGAGCAAACAGG
rnacentral:rRNA from 1 species